AGAUAAGGAAGGAAAACUACUUCGAAACUAUACUCAAAAUAUAGAUACCUUGGAGCAGGUUGCAGGAAUCCAAAGGAUCAUCCAGUGUCAUGGUUCCUUUGCAACAGCAUCUUGCCUGAUUUGCAAAUACAAAGUUGAUUGUGAAGCUGUUCGAGGAGACAUUUUUAAUCAGGUAGUUCCUCGUUGUCCUAGGUGCCCGGCUGAUGAGCCACUUGCUAUCAUGAAGCCGGAGAUUGUCUUCUUUGGUGAAAAUUUACCAGAACA